rnacentral:rRNA from 1 species
UUCAGGCCUAACACAUGCAAGUCGAACGGUGAAGCCCUUUCGGGGGUGGAUCAGUGGCGAACGGGUGAGUAACACGUGAGCAACCUGCCUCUGGCUCUGGGAUAACUCCGGGAAACCGGGGCUAAUACUGGAUAUGACGCAUUCUCGCAUGGGGGUGUGUGGAAAGUUUUUCGGCCAGGGAUGGGCUCGCGGCCUAUCAGCUUGUUGGUGGGGUGAUGGCCUACCAAGGCGACGACGGGUAGCCGGCCUGAGAGGGCGACCGGCCACACUGGGACUGAGACACGGCCCAGACUCCUACGGGAGGCAGCAGUGGGGAAUAUUGCGCAAUGGGCGAAAGCCUGACGCAGCGACGCCGCGUGGGGGAUGAAGGCCUUCGGGUUGUAAACCUCUUUCAGCGCCGAACAAACGGAAGUGACGGGAGGCGCAGAAGAAGCACCGGCUAACUACGUGCCAGCAGCCGCGGUAAUACGUAGGGUGCAAGCGUUGUCCGGAAUUAU